CAGUAGGGAAUCUUCCGCAAUGGACGAAAGUCUGACGGAGCAACGCCGCGUGAGUGAUGAAGGUUUUCGGAUCGUAAAACUCUGUUGUUAGGGAAGAACAAGUCGGGUAGUAACUGACCCGGCCUUGACGGUACCUAACCAGAAAGCCCCGGCUAACUACGUGCCAGCAGCCGCGGUAAUACGUAGGGGGCAAGCGUUGUCCGGAAUUAUUGGGCGUAAAGCGCUCGCAGGCGGUCCUUUAAGUCUGAUGUGAAAUCUCGCGGCUCAACCGCGAACGGUCAUUGGAAACUGGAGGACUUGAGUACAGAAGAGGAGAGUGGAAUUCCACGUGUAGCGGUGAAAUGCGUAGAGAUGUGGAGGAACACCAGUGGCGAAGGCGACUCUCUGGUCUGUAACUGACGCUGAGGAGCGAAAGCGUGGGGAGCGAACAGGAUUAGAUACCCUGGUAGUCCACGCCGUAAACGAUGAGUGCUAGGUGUUAGGGGGUUUCCGCCCCUUAGUGCUGAAGUUAACGCAUUAAGCACUCCGCCUGGGGAGUACGGCCGCAAGGCUGAAACUCAAAAGAAUUGACGGGGGCCCGCACAAGCGGUGGAGCAUGUGGUUUAAUUCGAAGCAACGCGAAGAACCUUACCAGGUCUUGACAUCCUCUGCUAUUCCUAGAGAUAGGAAGUUCCCUUCGGGGACAGAGUGACAGGUGGUGCAUGGUUGUCGUCAGCUCGUGUCGUGAGAUGUUGGGUUAAGUCCCGCAACGAGCGCAACCCUUGAUCUUAGUUGCCAGCAUUAAGUUGGGCACUCUAAGGUGACUGCCGGUGACAAACCGGAGGAAGGUGGGGAUGACGUCAAAUCAUCAUGCCCCUUAUGACCUGGGCUACACACGUGCUACAAUGGAUGGAACAAAGGGAAGCGAAACCGCGAGGUCAAGCAAAUCCCAUAAAACCAUUCUCAGUUCGGAUUGCAGGCUGCAACUCGCCUGCAUGAAGCCGGAAUCGCUAGUAAUCGCGGAUCAGCAU
rnacentral:rRNA from 1 species